AGCAGCCGCGGUAAUUCCAGCUCCAAUAGCGUACAUUAAAGUUGUUGCAGUUAAAAAGCUCGUAGUUGAAUUUCGGGGUCAGUAGAUUGGUCAUGCCUCCGGUAUGUACUGGUCUUACUGGCUCCUCCUUCCUGAUGAACCGUAAUGCCAUUAAUUUGGUGUUGCGGGGAGACUGGACUGUUACUUUGAAAAAAUUAGAGUGUUUAAAGCAGGCUAACGCUUGAAUACAUUAGCAUGGAAUAAUGAAAUAGGACGUUCGAUCUUAUUUUGUUGGUUUCUAAGAUUGACGUAAUGAUUAAUAGGGAUAGUUGGGGGCAUUAGUAUUCAAUUGUCAGAGGUGAAAUUCUUGGAUUUAUUGAAGACUAACUACUGCGAAAGCAUUUGCCAAGGAUGUUUUCAUUAAUCAAGAACGAAAGUUAGGGGAUCGAAGACGAUCAGAUACCGUCGUAGUCUUAACCAUAAACUAUGCCGACUAGGGAUCGGAUGAUGUUAUUUUUAAUGACUCAUUCGGCGCCUUACG
rnacentral:rRNA from 1 species